rnacentral:tRNA from 1 species
GGUCCGGUGGCCGAGGCGACAGCGGCGCCGGUCUUCACACGGCAGGGCAGGGGUUCAAAUCCCAUCCAGACCG